rnacentral:snRNA from 1 species
AAAAAAUUUUUUUUAAAUGGAAACGAUACAAAGAUUAUUGUUCCUGCACAAGGAUGACAUUCAAAUUCAUGAAGCAUUCCACAUUUUU